AUCCUCAUCACCAACAAUAUACAUGGCAGGACAUCGAGCCACAUUCCAUCCGAUCCUUGCUUUGAUCAUCAUACUUGAAAAGCUUGAUAGAAAACUCCAUGCAAUCUUGUCAAAUCAUGCCACCACUAGGAGCAACUGACUACAGGCCAGAUAAAGUAGCUACAGCUGCUCAAUGUCAAGAAAUCAAAUUGAAGAUCUUGUGAUAGCACGUUCAA
rnacentral:lncRNA from 1 species